rnacentral:rRNA from 1 species
UACAGAGGGGGCAAGCGUUGUUCGGAAUUACUGGACGUAAAGGGCGCGUAGGCGGCCUGCUAAGUCGAACGUGAAAUCCCUGGGCUCAACCCAGGAACUGCGUCCGAUACUGGUUGGCUUGAAUCCGGGAGAGGGACGUGGAAUUCCAGGUGUAGCGGUGAAAUGCGUAGAUAUCUGGAGGAACACCGGUGGCGAAGGCGACGUCCUGGACCGGCAUUGACGCUGAGGCGCGAAAGCCAGGGGAGCAAAGCGGG